rnacentral:rRNA from 1 species
CCCUACGGGGCGCAGCAGUGGGGAAUAUUGGGCAAUGGACGCAAGUCUGACCCAGCAACGCCGCGUGAAGGAAGAAGGCUUUCGGGUUGUAAACUUCUUUUAAGGGGGAAGAGCAGAAGACGGUACCCCUUGAAUGAGCCACGGCUAACUACGUGCCAGCAGCCGCGGUAAUACGUAGGUGGCAAGCGUUGUCCGGAUUUAUUGGGUUUAAAGGGUGCGCAGGCGGAUUUUUAAGUCAGCGGUCAAAUCGUGGGGCUCAACCCCAUCCAGCCGUUGAAACUGGGGAUCUAGAGUGUGCGAGAGGG